UGUGAAAGCCCAGGGCUCAACCCUGGAAGUGCAUUUGAUACUGCGAAGCUUGAGUGUCGGAGAGGUUACUAGAAUUGUUGGUGUAGUGGUGAAAUACGUAGAUAUCAACAGGAAUACCGGAGGCGGAAGGCGGGUAACUGGCCGAACACUGACACUGAGAUCCGAAAGCGUGGGGAUCAAACAGGAUUAGAUACCCUGGUAGUCCACGCCGUAAACGAUGGAUACUUGUUGUUGGAGGUAUUGACCCCUUCAGUGACGAAGCUAACGCGUUAAGUAUCCCGCCUGGGGAGUACGGUCGCAAGAUUAAAACUCAAAGAAAUUGACGGGGGCCCGCACAAGCGGUGGAGCAUGUGGUUUAAUUCGAUGCAACGCGAAGAACCUUACCUA
rnacentral:rRNA from 1 species